UACGUAGGUGGCAAGCGUUGUCCGGAUUUACUGGGCGUAAAGAGCGCGCAGGCGGUCGUGCAAGUCGCGUGUGAAAGCCCCCGGCUCAACUGGGGAGGGUCACGCGAUACUGCUCGACUCGAAGGCAGGAGAGGGAAGUGGAAUUCCCGGUGUAGUGGUGAAAUUCGUAGAUAUCGGGAGGAACACCAGUGGCGAAGGCGACUACCUGGCCUGUUCUUGACGCUGAGGCGCGAAAGCUAGGGGAGCAAACGGG
rnacentral:rRNA from 1 species